rnacentral:rRNA from 1 species
CCUACGGGUGGCAGCAGUGAGGAAUAUUGGUCAAUGGCCGUAAGGCUGAACCAGCCAAGUCGCGUGAGGGAAGACUGCCCUAUGGGUUGUAAACCUCUUAUAUGCGGGGAUAAAGGUGUCCACUAGUGGAUGUUUGCAGGUACCGCAUGAAUAAGGACCGGCUCAUUCCGUGCCAGCAGACGCGGUAAUACGGAAGGUCCGGGCGUUAUCAGGAUUUAUUGGGUUUAAAGGGAGCGUAGGCCGGUCUUUAAGCGUGCCGGGAAAUUUUGUGGCUCAACCAUGAGAGUGCGGCGCGAACUGGAGGCCUUGAGUGCGCGGAAGGCAGGCGGAAUUCGUGGUGUAGCGGUGAAAUGCGUAGAGAUCACGAAGAACCCCGAUUGCGAAGGCAGCCUGCCGCAGCGUUACUGACGCUGAAGCACGAAAGCGCGGGUAUCGAACAGGAUUAGAUACCCUUGUAGUC